rnacentral:rRNA from 1 species
GUGCCAGCAGCCGCGGUAAGACGUAGGAUGCGAGCGUUGUCCGGAUUCAUUGGGCGUAAAGAGUUCGUAGGCGGUUUGUUAAGUCUGAUGUUAAAGAUCGGGGCCCAACCCUGGGAGUGCAUUGGAUACUGGCAGACUGGAGUGCAGUAGAGGCAAGUGGAAUUCCCAGUGUAGCGGUGAAAUGCGUAGAUAUUGGGAAGAACACCGGUGGCGCAGGCGACUUGCUGGGCUGUAACUGACGCUGAGGAACGAAAGCUAGGGGAGCAAAUGGGAUUAGAUACCCCCGUAGUCC